rnacentral:snoRNA from 1 species
AAUUUCAAAUAAUGAUUUACUGGAUUUUGACCACUCCUUGAGGAUAAAGUGCCCCCCCAAGACCUUUGACACCUGGGGGUCUAAGGGUU